GCCUCCGCCCCUGGGUUGGCGGACAGGGGAAGGAGCGAAGAUGGCGGAGUGAGGCGUGCCCCGGGCAGCUGGCCUGCGGGCCCGGGGCAGGCCUCCCGCGAGAAGCGGAAUACUUGUGCUGGACCAUGUGAGGAACCAUAUCACACAAGAUGAAUAUUUUCCUGACCUUAGGUGCUUUUAUAUUCAGCUCAACAUUCUGAACUCAGGACUUGGCACGUAAGUAGAUAGAGAUAAUCAUCCCAAGUCCUGUUGUAGCGGCUUGAAAGGCUCCAUAGAAGCCACAUACUAAACUGUUAAGAGCAACAGAAGAUGAAGAUAAAAAUGAGUACAAGCCAGCUACCAUGGCUCACCUUUAUGCCCAGCUCUUGGGACCUGGGGAACUGAGCUCACUCUUUGACAGAUUUCCUGGACAAAAACAAGAUAUGAUAAAAGCAGAAACCAGGUUUGGUUUUGUAUGGGAGUGAAAUCAUUACAGUUUUGUGUGUAUAAAUCUACAUUUUUAAAUAAGAUUUUUCUCUUGGAGAAGAAACCUGUUGUUUAUAAGAAGGCUUUGGACAGUUUAAUAGUCUUAAAUGUUCUGCUUUGCUGUUCUAGUCCUCAGGAAGGCCCAGCUGGGCCUGUGGCUAGUUCAGAAUGGGAAGAAACAUAGGCUGGGACAAUGCUCACCCUGAACUGCCAGCGUGUGGGAGGCCAAGGCAGGAAGAGCAGAUGUUCAGGGCCAGCUUGGACAUCAUGAGGCUCAAAACCAGUAGGAAAAAAAACAGAGCCCAGUAACACCCUCUUUUAUAUUCCUUUUGUGGAAUCAUGUAGCAUGUGAGACUGGGUUGGAAGGGAACUGGCAUAUGUGGUAUUUCAGUUAAGGUGAUGUGGUAGACCCUGAUGUGUAACUGGCCUUCACCUUUGGACAUACAGGAAUGAAGGAAAAACUAAGGCUUGGCAUAUAAAUCUUUUCUUCUAAGAAAAAGAAGCAAAGCUGUCUAAUGUAGCAUUGUCUGACUUUUCAACAUUUUUACUUUAUGUGGUUGCAUUUUUUUAUAAAAGUAUAAAUAAGUUCCUUCAACCCAAAAUGGGUACUUGGACAGAUUUUUUUUUUUCUGGGUGAUAAUGUAAUGUUAUGCUGAAAAUCUGGGACUCAGGUAAAUUUUCCCAGUUUGAAUUGAGCUGUCUUACCAGAGAAUGGGCCUCAGAAGCAAUGUUCCCAGUCCUGUGGUUGGUUCACUAUAAUCUCAGAAGAAAUUUGGAAUAUGAAUCAAAUUUCAAAUAAGAAAAGCAGAUCCGAUAAGAAGUGUGGAUCUAGUUGCUAGUCACUGUAGAUUUAAAGGAAAUUUAGGGCCUGGGGUGGGGGGAUAACCCGAGAAUUCAUUCCAGUGAGAGGUGAUAAGUGCUCUUUCUCCCUUUAGUAGUUAUGUUAUAAGGAACUAUUGUGGAAAUAUCUCUUCCUUCCCAAUCAAUGGAAGUUUAUUAUAUGGGAUGCCAGGCUUUUACAUGAGAGGGUACCAUUGUUUGCAACAGUUGCCAGUAGAGAAGGAGUUUUAAGCUUGUUAGAUGAGAGAGAAACAGAUGCUGUUAGAGCUGACUUCUGGAACAGGUUCUCAGUGCUGCAGGUGCUGUGAAUUUGAGUCAUAAAAAUGUUCAAAAUUAGAAAAUGUUGAACAUUCAUGGUUUGUCAGAUUGGGCAACAAAAUUGAAUUUAUGCUAAAAGCUUUUUUCAUGAAUAUUUACUAUAAAUAACCUAUUAAUGAGAGCAAAUAAUAAUAAAAUACUAGAGAAAUAACAUGUUUAAGGUAACCUAAAUUGCUGGGCUUGGUUGCUCAACCUAUAACCACAUUUUGACGACUGAGGCAGGAGGAUAGGCCACAAAGAUCAAGGCCAGCCUGAAUGACAGACACUGUCUCAAAAUGAAACAAAAAUAUAACCCACGUUUUUCAAGUGCCCCAGCCACUUAUAUUUUUAUUUAGAAGACAAAGCCAGCUGGUGGUUGAGAGCACCUCCUAGAUGCUGAGCUGUCCUGCACCUUGCCCUUGGGCAGGCAGGGGCUGUCACUGCUAGGGAAGUGUCCCCCCAUUUGCUCCAGGUGCUUCAGGGAAGUGCACUUUGUCUGAGCCGCUCCCGCAUCCUGCAUCAUUAACACCAAAUGGUGUUCACAGCAUGGGUGGAUCCCAGCCCUAAUUGCCUGGUGUGUGUGUGUGUGGGGGGGGGGGCACAUUUCCAUUUAUAGUCUUACUUGGGUUUUCUUCUUAAUAGCAGCAAAGACUACCAUUUUAGAGUUGUGCCUCCAUUUAUAGCUGUGCCUCCUCCCUUCUCCAUGUAAGCUGGCAGUUUUUCUUUUGAAGUUUCUAAACAAAAACGGGAUAUGUGCAAUAUAUAUAAAUAUAUAUAUAAUGUAUAUUUUAAUACUUGUGGACAAGUGUUACAAGUUGUUUAAGAACAACAAAAUCACCAAUGUCUUCCAUUUUGAGAUGUGUAUAGUUUUGUAAGCAGUAGUGCUUGAUAGCAUAUUGUAGUGCCAUGUUAGGGGUUAGUGCAUGAAUUUAGUAUAAUUUUAAACUUCAAGAUGAAAUAUUGAUAAUAACCAGUAGUGUAAAAAGUGUGGAAAAUCCUAGACCUUUACUUUUUUGUGUAUGAAUAUUUGAUAGUCUCCCUGGGGAUAGGAGAAAAAGGCCAAAACAACUAAUGUCUGAACAGAAGUGUGGGUUCACACUGAGAGCCACUGCGCUUGGGGGAAUGUUAGGCCUUUCACAGGGGAGCUAGAAUAGCUAGCUACCUUUGUAGCUCCUCAGUCCUCACAGCAAGGCCUGGGUUCAGGCUUCUCUUGCUCUCUAAGUUUGAAGCUAGAUUGGUCCUGUAUUGAUUUUGCAUUGUAUGUUUUGGGUUCACUUUUCCUCUUUUGUGUCCAGAAAAUAAUUUUCUGUUUUGCAUGUCUGAGAUGCCGUGCUGAUUGCUUUGGAAUGUUUACUCUUUGGCCAUUUCCUUUCCUGCUUGCAGCAUGUGUGCUAACUGCAAAGCCUUGUCAGCAGUUUGGAGUAUCCUGUACUUUAGGCUUUGCCCCAUUCCACAUCUGACUUGGGUGUUGAGUCCAGGCUCUCUCAUGAGAACUGAUAGCUCAGUGGGGCCCAUGUAGGUUGACAAAAAGUAUGUUGGCCUCUCCUUUGGUAAUUGUUGAGAGCUUUCACGUUUUUUCUACUUUCCUUAUGAAAAUAAAGUAGUUGCUUUGUUCUGAAAAAUAAAGUUUUCUAUAAAAUGGAAUUCCUACCUCUAAAAGCUGCCUAGGAAACUUGGAAGUAAUCAUUUUCUGAAGAGUUGUAGGGUUUUGUGGGGUUUUUUUAUUUGUUUGUUCCUUUUUAUAAUUUUUAGAAAUAUAGUCCUGCCGGGUAUGGUGGCAGAUGCCUUCCCAGCCUUGGGAAGUUGAGGCAGUAAGAUCAGGAGUUCAAGGUCAUCCUCAGCUACGUAGUGAGUUGGAGGUCAGCCUGGGAUACACGAGACCCUGUCUCAGAAAACCAAAAGAAAAGAGAGAAAGAAAAGCGUAUGUAGGAUUUCUUAACAUGUAUUACAUUAGUAUGAUAGGAAAUGUAAAACUUCCCCCUAGAAACUAGGUCUGAGUCUAGUAUUAGAUAUGCAGGGUCCCAGGAAGAGACUCUUCACUCAAGAAGAUGGUCAGCACCUGGGAGAAUCUGCUUCAGAAACGAAGGGGAAGGACUUGAAAAAGUGAUGCUUAUAAAGUAGCACAGAAUAGGAAAGGACAUUUCCUGCUGCAAAUCACAAAAGCCAUAGUGAACUAAUAAUACUGUCAAAGAGGUGGAAUUCUGUAGCAAUAAUAGGUAUGGAUGGAUGGUAAAUUGUGCUCACAAAGCUGUGUGGUUGAGUGGUUACUGGUUGAGUUUGUGGGGCCCUGCAGUUUAUUAUAGAGUUCCACAAAAGGAAAAACACAUCUUAGUUAAAAGGCAUUUAAACUAUGAAUGUAUAUGAAUAUAUUUGCGUGAAAAAAAUACCAACUUUCAUAUAUGUGUUAAAGUUCCUAUUUUGUUUCCCCAGAGUUUACAGCUGUUGAAAUCUUUCUAGUACUUAAUCUGGAAUUCCAGUGAAGCCAACAUGUAGGGGUCUUGCUUAAAUUGUUUGUAUUAAUAGUCAUUUACUAUAUAGAAUGAUCUAUGCUUUAUUCAAAUAAUAUAACCUUUGCUCAUUGGGUUCCUGGCUACUGUUUCAAAGGGAAAAGUUUGUUUUUGUGUGUGAUUAGUGUGUCUUUGGGAUAGGGGGAGCCUCAAGAACUUACUGGUAUUUCCUUGUACUUAGACUCAAGGAAGUUAGGACUAAAAGUGAACAAAAUGACUGGCAGUGCCCAGGCAGGGAGUUAUCUAAACAUCUCAUAAGUGAAUGUGAUAAGCUUGUGGGCAGUGUUCGAAUCCUUAUAUCAAAUAGAACCCAGCAGACUCAUUCCUUUCUUAUCUGAGAUGUAAAAUGGAACUAGGGCCACUCCUCAUUUCCUUUACCUCAUGGCAUGUGGCCACUUAGCACCUUCAACAUCCCUGAAAAGAUCUGGGUCUCUGUUCCUUUUGUUUUCCCGGGGAAGAAAAGUCAAAAAGUAGUUUUGUAGAUCUAAGACUCUUAUUUUAUUAUAAGCCUAAGGGUAGGGAAAAGGCUACCUUGAGUGUAGUUUCUCUUUAGAUGUCCUAAACUAUCCAUGUUAGCUUUUGGGACAACCAAGCAAUAUUCAGAACAACUGCAUGAUCAUGAAGACAUAGCUAAUUCAGUUACAGCAGAGAUUACCCUUAACAGCCAAGUAAGUUUAUGGUUCUAAAUGCAAAAAUAUGCUACAAGAUUUUGUGGUCUCAAAAUAUGUGAUUAAUUAGUAUUCAGUCUUACUGUAGUCUCUUGUUUACUCUGUACCUGUGAUAUGCAAAAUAUGAAAAAGACCCCCUAGCCUUCAGGUUUACAUUCUCAUGGUGCUGUAGGUGCAAGCAUACUGUCUCUAGUUUAUUCAGAACAUUGCUUGGCUACUAAUUAUACCAUUUUGGAAGAACCCCUUAGCCAAGAGUUUUAAAAUGCAGAGGGCUAUGUUGAAUUUCAGGGCAUUGCUGCUUGUGUUUACACUGAUUUAGUUCUGCUCCUCAACUCUUCCCCAGGGAGCUGCUCAUUAAUACAAACCAGGAAAGAAACCAUUCUGCCCAAGUACCCUCACCACCCUCCAGCUCUCAGUGAGUGGCCAAGAAAACUUGCUCCAUAAAGACUAUCACCUCAGUUCCUUUUUCCCAGGGCUUUACACUUAUUCAUUAUCUUCCAAGGGCCAGGAUUUCUAGCUAAGCCUUUUAGAACCAAACAGAAGUCUUACAUUUAGCUUUUUCCUGUAUGACUUGUUUGUUUUGAAGCAGCAUUAUAGUAGAUAACGGAGUACCUGACUGCAUCUCCGAGGAAUUUGACUUGACAUAUUCAGUUGAAGUUUUGCAUGUAUCAUUGCUUUUUCCCAAGAUUCUGAAACAAAGGUUUUGCAUGUGUGUUAAAACCAGGCCUGAUUGGAAGUGUAAGCAAUAGUAGCAGGCCCAUAACUGAUUCUAGAAUGCUAACAUUCUAAUGCAUGGUUGAAAUUUUUCAUUGUUAGGUAGUUAUUAGUAAUUUUAUAUAUACAUUUAUCAAUAAUGAAGCAAUAGAUACUUAAACCAAUAGCUUGGUCUUAUUGUUUAUUUUUAUUUUUUAAUUAAAGAUUGUCUUACUUCCAUUGAAAUUGGAAGUACAAGAUAAACAAGGGGCAACCACAAGACAUUCAAACUGUUAGGAAAACAGCAAGCAGUGCUCACUCUGUUUCCUAGCUCUAUUUAUUCCCAAGCAUGUUUGCAAAUAAAAGAUAAACUAAGCAUGUUGAAUAAGCUGCUGUUAUCAGGGUAGUGCAGGAUUUCAGAAGAGUAGGGAAAUAAGCCAAGUAGAGUCAUCUUCCUUCAGAAAUAACAAUGUUCAGUGUUAAAUAACUAGCUGUGGGGCUUGUCUAACUAGUUUUUGUAGACUAAGUUCGAGGUUUCUUCAAACUAUAGAUUGAGCCAGAUUCAUGGUCUACCGUCCCCGAACAGGCAGGAACUGGCCUGAGUGUCAUAAACAGGCGCCACCAUCAGUGUGAAGUUCAGUGAUGACUGAGGACCCGGCAAGGCCCUGCAGCAAGGUGGUUUUGUAGGAUACAGAAGUUCAGACUCAGACUGUGCUGUGGCUCUGUUUACAACGGCAGAGCUGGAGUUGUUCUUCAGAUGAGUCGGUCAAAAUGUGUCACUUGCCUGAAACUUGAUUCCUGAGGAACAGGAAAAAACUUUCUUCUUCCAAAAAAUAUAUUUAUUUGGAUAAAUGAAUAUUGGUUUGUUAUAAUAGUGAAAGGAACAGAAGUGUAAUCUACUGGCAGAACAUUUACCUGAGAAAAUGGGUUUAAUUGCAGCACGACCAAAAAAACCUCAUGGUGGUAGCAUAAGAAUUUCUUGACUUUGAAAUGCAAGUUACAAAAUGAUUUUGACAAAUGAGAAGUAUUUAUAAUGUCUGAAAGGCCUAAAUAGAUUUCAAAUAAAACUGUUUCACUGGAUUCAGUCCAAUUUACCUGUUAUAUGAUGGAAAACUAGUUCCAAAUUUAACUUUCACUGUGGUCCUUUGCUAUGGAUGUCAACUGCAAUGGUGACUCCUAACCUUCAGAACUGAACUAAAGUUGUCAGUGUGAUGGUUGCUUUCCACUGAAACACAGGAAUCGAAGUAUGUGUUGUAUCCCAAAUAGAAGUGUUCUUUGCCACUUACUAAUAAAGAUGUAAGGUCAGAGUUCUUCCUUCUAGCAUUCUCUUCCUAAUAGUCACCAAAGUCAAAGCAUCAAACGGCAAGGCUUGGUGUGUAUUUGGUAGACUCAGGCUUUAUAAGAUACCUUUAAAGGGGCUUGAGAGAUGGCUCAGCAAUUUAGAGUACUGACUGCUCUUCCGAAGGCCCUGAGUUCAAAUCCCAGCAACCAGAUGGUGGCUCACAACCACCCAUAAUGAGAUCUGACGCCCUCUUCUGGUGUGUCUGAAGACAGCAAAAGCGUACUUAUUUUAUUUAUAAUAAUAAAUAAAUCUUUGGGCCAAAGGGAGCAGGGACUGAACGAGUGGGGCCAGCCAGAGCAAGUGGGGUUGACCAGAGCAAGCAGAGGACCUAAAAUUCAAUUCCCAACAACCACAUGAAGGCUCACAACCAUCUGUUCAGCUACAGUGUACUCAUAUGUAUAAAAUAAAUAAAUCUUUUUUUAAAAUGAUACUUUUAAAGGCAGAAUACAGUUAGGAUUAAUGGUGAUUUUCCAAACAUUUUGACAUCUUUGGUAAUGGUAUGCUGUAUCCUUAAUUUAAAUGUUCUUUUGUGCUUGGAACAUAGCUCUUGGAGAACACUUGGACUCAGGCCAGUCCUCAACACUUGACACCCUAUCCCAAAGAUCAGACAAGAAUUGUGUCAGUGUGUUAUCAGUCUAUAAACAACAUUACUAGUCUGAGCCUAAGCAUCCCUGUAAUGACAAAGAUUAAGAGUGGUAAUCGACUUGAGAGUGGUGCAUUUUCUGCCCUUCAAGCAUAGGUGUCACUGUUCGCUUGCCCUUCCUUGUAUCUUGUAUUGCGCCACCAGUGUAUGAGGUGAUGUUAAAGAGCACCAGUGAAUGUUUAAAGCACUAUAAAAGGCAGCUUCUUAAUCUAUGCAUCUUUGGGAGUUUUGAAGAAAUUUGACUUCUUGGGAAAGGAACUGUUUUUUGAGAGUCUGAAACUGCACCUGUAUGUAUAUAUUUUUAGCAAUAAAGCAUGAGCAGAGAAUGCACUGAAACUUGA
rnacentral:lncRNA from 1 species